GGAAUGGCGGCGGCUACACAUGCAGUCGAGCGGAACGAGUUAUCUGAACCUUCGGGGAACGAUAACGGCGUCGAGCGGCGGACGGGUGAGUAAUGCCUAGGAAAUUGCCCUGAUGUGGGGGAUAACCAUUGGAAACGAUGGCUAAUACCGCAUAAUGCCUACGGGCCAAAGAGGGGGACCUUCGGGCCUCUCGCGUCAGGAUAUGCCUAGGUGGGAUUAGCUAGUUGGUGAGGUAAUGGCUCACCAAGGCGACGAUCCCUAGCUGGUCUGAGAGGAUGAUCAGCCACACUGGAACUGAGACACGGUCCAGACUCCUACGGGAGGCAGCAGUGGGGAAUAUUGCACAAUGGGCGCAAGCCUGAUGCAGCCAUGCCGCGUGUGUGAAGAAGGCCUUCGGGUUGUAAAGCACUUUCAGUCGUGAGGAAGGUAGUGUAGUUAAUAGCUGCAUUAUUUGACGUUAGCGACAGAAGAAGCACCGGCUAACUCCGUGCCAGCAGCCGCGGUAAUACGGAGGGUGCGAGCGUUAAUCGGAAUUACUGGGCGUAAAGCGCAUGCAGGUGGUUUGUUAAGUCAGAUGUGAAAGCCCGGGGCUCAACCUCGGAAUUGCAUUUGAAACUGGCAGACUAGAGUACUGUAGAGGGGGGUAGAAUUUCAGGUGUAGCGGUGAAAUGCGUAGAGAUCUGAAGGAAUACCGGUGGCGAAGGCGGCCCCCUGGACAGAUACUGACACUCAGAUGCGAAAAGCGUGGGGAGCAAAACAGGAUUAGAUACCCUGGUAGUCCACGCCGUAAACGAUGUCUACUUGGAGGUUGUGGCCUUGAGCCGUGUCUUUUCGGAGCUAACGCGUUAAGUAGACCCGCCUGGGGAAGUACGGUUCUCAA
rnacentral:rRNA from 1 species